rnacentral:misc_RNA from 1 species
GAUGAAGAACGUAGCGAAAUGCGAUAAGUAGUGUGAAUUGCAGAAUUCAGUGAAUCAUCGAAUCUUUGAACGCACAUUGCGCCCUUUGGUAUUCCUUAGGGCAUGCCUGUUCGAGCGUCAUUUGAAACCUCAAGCUCAGCUUGGUGUUGGGUGUCUGUCCCCGCCUCCGCGGGGACUCGCCUCAAAAUCAUUGGCGGCCGGUACGUUGGCUUCGAGCGCAGCAGAAACGCGAACUCGAGGCCCGGCGGAUCGGCGACCAGAAGUCUCUUCUUCACAGUUUGACCUCGGAUCAGGUAGGGAUACCCGCUGAACUUAAGCAUAUCAAUAAGCGGACGA